GACAGAGGUGCAACAGUUGUUCGGAAUUACUGGGCGUAAAGCGCGUGUAGGCGGUCUCGCAAGUCGGGUGUGAAAGCCCAGGGCUCAACCCUGGAAGUGCAUUCGAUACUGCGAGGCUAGAGUCCCGGAGAGGAUGGUGGAACUCUCGGUGUAGAGGUGAAAUUCGUAGAUAUCGAGAAGAACACCGGUGGCGAAGGCGGCCAUCUGGACGGUGACUGACGCUGAGACGCGAAAGCGUGGGGAGCAAACAGG
rnacentral:rRNA from 1 species